CUGCUCCUGGGUACAGGAGCAUCUUUUGGACGGAGCCAUGCAGCUCCAAGUACGAUUUAUUUUAAGAGAAAAUUGCCCACCUUUUAGAGUAAAUAAAGCUGAGAGCAGAGCUGAGAGACUUCAUUUCUACUUCCUAGUGUAGCAACUGAAGACUGAGCCUCCUUCACCUUCAAUUGCUUUUCUCAGAAAGUUUUUAUUUAGCUUACUAGAAGAAAGCACAUUUUCCAGACCAAAGGGGAAGACAAUAAGACAAGGCAGGGCAAGUAAGUAAAAGACGUUUCAGCUCUGACUUUUUUAAAAGUAAUCUGUGUGUGUGUUUUAUUUGUGUUUUUGCCAAUAAUCAAUCAUACUGGAUAAUAUGAAACAUUACCAUAAUAGGUAAAGGCAUUUUAAAAGAUAAACAUUUAAAGGCGUUUAAAAAUACAAACAACAGGAGAAAUGAACGAUAGAAACAAACGAUAGAAAGAAAUGAACUGGAUAUGCAUUCAAAACCAUUGCUGUAAAUAAUAUAUCUUAUAAAAAGUGUCCACAGGGGAGCUGAUAUAUAAAUAGAACCACAGUGUGAAAUAAGGAUUGUGCCUUAUUUUCUGUAGGAGCUGCUAGUUCUAUGCCAGGAAGCAAAGAUGGUAACAAAAGAAUAUACUGAGUAAUGUCCCUCAGAUGUCUGUCCUUCCCAUGGCAUAUAUGCACGUUAUAUAUGGGGCAAUGGUGCUCACUUUACCCACCUACGGGUCUUGAUUUUUUUUUUAAGGAUUAAAGGACACCAUCCUACGUGGAGCUGUCACACAUCAGUCAAUGUGGGUUGAUAUGAACCAGUGAGUGAUGCCCAAGUGGGUUUAAUCUGAAGGAAAAAUGAAGAUACUGUACUCCCAAGAAGAUUAAACAAUAGCACAUAAAUUAUUUAUUUCCCAGGAUGUAAUUCAAAUAACCAACGGGACAGAAAAAAAUACAAGAAUAAAAGGUUUGCAUUGUGUUUUGUGCAGUAUAUGUGUCUCACCCUAAUGAGUCUCCUGGAUCCUAGUUUGCUUCUGAAUAUCACCAGGGGUGAUUAUAGCUUGCAAAAGUAGACCAGCAAAAGGCAUGCUUUCCUAUGUCUUGGGCUGUAAUUAAAGCCACAAGCCAUCAGAUAGCAAAGAGGCCAGCUGCAGCCCUUCAAACCUUUAGUACCCUGGCAUUAAAAAUAGAUUACAGCACAAAAUAUAUACCAAAAAUAAUCCCAAUAAAAAAAUUUGCACAUUUGAUUACUAUAAUUGAUUUUUUUCUUCUAGAUAUGAAUAAAUGACCCAGGCUAAAUGCCAGUUCCUUGCAAAGAAUUUCAUUUAAGCUUCACUGAAUUGA
rnacentral:lncRNA from 1 species